AUUGAACGCUGGCGGCAUGCUUUACACAUGCAAGUCGAACGGUAGCAGGGAGCUUGCUCCGCUGACGAGUGGCGAACGGGUGAGUAAUGCGUCGGAACGUGCCGAGUAGUGGGGGAUAACGCAUCGAAAGGUGUGCUAAUACCGCAUACGUACUGAGGUAGAAAGUGGGGGGCCUUCGGGCCUCACGCUAUUCGAGCGGCCGACGUCUGAUUAGCUAGUUGGUGAGGUAAAGGCUCACCAAGGCGACGAUCAGUAGCGGGGCUGAGAGGAUGAGCCGCCACACUGGGACUGAGACACGGCCCAGACUCCUACGGGAGGCAGCAGUGGGGAAUUUUGGACAAUGGGCGCAAGCCUGAUCCAGCCAUGCCGCGUGUCUGAAGAAGGCCUUCGGGUUGUAAAGGACUUUUGUCCGGGAGCAAAUGCUGGUGGCUAACAUCCACCGGAGCUGAGAGUACCGGAAGAAUAAGCACCGGCUAACUACGUGCCAGCAGCCGCAGUAACAC
rnacentral:rRNA from 1 species